rnacentral:rRNA from 1 species
AUUGAACGCUGGCGGCAGGCCUAACACAUGCAAGUCGAGCGGAGCGGCGGACGGGUGAGUAAUGCCUAGGAAUCUGCCAGGUAGUGGGGGAUAACGUCCGGAAACGGGCGCUAAUACCGCAUACUAUCAGAUGAGCCUAGGUCGGAUUAGCUAGUUGGUGGGGUAAAGGCCUACCAAGGCGACGAUCCGUAACGGGUCUGAGAGGAUGAUCCGGCACAAUGAAACUGAGAAACGGUCCAGAGUCUAACGGGAGGCAGCCGUGGGGAAUAUUGGACAAGGGGCGAAAGCCGGAUCCAGCCAGGCCGCGUGUGUGAAGAAGGUCUUCGGAUUGUAAAGCACUUUAAGUUGGGAGGCGUUACCAACAGAAUAAGCACCGGCUAACUUCGUGCCAGCCGCCGCGGCAAUAC